CGUCUUCGGGGCAGGGUGCGAUUCCCUACCGGCGGUCACAGUCCGCGAACCGGCCUAUCCGGCCGGCCGACGAGGUGGAACUCCUCGACCGACAGUACAGUCUGGAAGAGAGAAGAC
rnacentral:ncRNA from 1 species